UAAGAUGUCAACUUUUAAAAAGUUAAUUAUUUUACUUUUGGUGUUCUCUGUCAACACAGUGCUCGUUAUAAGCGACUGCAGCGUCCUUGACAAGUACUUGUACAUACGACAUAAAGAAACCCGACUUGUUUUAGCUAGUAUUGGCUUUGACGUACAGUUGCAAACCUAUGACCCUAGUCCAGUCCAUCAGCAGUAUCAGCAAUGGAUAUUUCACCUUUCUCCUAGAACUGGAUUAUUUAUCGUUCACAUACAGUAUUCAACGGGAGCACUCGAUUUUGACAAGGAUACUUACGAACUGGCCCGGUAUGACGAAACUAACUCCAUUUAUCAAGACUGGUUUUUUAAUGCAGAUGGUACUAUUGUUAAUGGUGCUUUGUAUGGGCAUGCGAUUUCAAUAAACAGGACAGAGUUCGGUGAGAUCGACAAGAUUUAUCUGGCGCCCAUUGGAACACCGGGAGCAGAGCAGAUAUUCGAACUGCUUGAUGCGCAUGAUCUUGAAGAACAAUCCUUAUAGAAAAACGCCUUGUGAAAAUUUAUUAAUUAUAAUUACAUAGUAAACUGUAUUGUAAUAUUACAAAAUACUAAAUGACAUAAAAUAUACAAAAAUG